CGGGCUGUUGUAUAAUGGUAGUACGCAGGGCUGGGGGUCCUGUAGCCGGGGUUCAAUUCCCCGCAGCCCGACAA
rnacentral:tRNA from 1 species